rnacentral:misc_RNA from 1 species
AAAUUCUCAAAGUAAAUUUUUUGUUAAUUCAACUGGUUUGCUUUGGACUUGGAGGUUUUUGCAGAUUUCACGUCUGCUCCUCUUAAAUUUAUUAGCUGGAUCUCAGUAUAUGCUUGGUUCCACUCGGCGUGAUAAGUAUCACUCGCUGAGGACACUGUAAAAAGUGGCCAGGAAAUGCAGAUGAACCGCUUCUAACAGUCUAUUAAGUUAGACAAUUAAUUUAUG